GCCGAAGUGGCGGAACUGGCAGACGCGCACGUUUGAGGGGCGUCUGGGGCAACCCGUGGGGGUUCGAGUCCCCCCUUCGGCACCA
rnacentral:tRNA from 1 species